rnacentral:rRNA from 1 species
GUGAGGAUAUUUGCACAAUGGAGGAAACUCUGAUGCAGCAACGCCGCGUGGAGGAUGACGCAUUUCGGUGUGUAAACUCCUUUUAUAUGUCAAGAAAAUGACGGUAGCAUAUGAAUAAGCGCCGGCUAACUCCGUGCCAGCAGCCGCGGUAAUACNGGAGGGCGCAAGCGUUACUCGGAAUCACUGGGCGUAAAGGACGCUGUAGGCGGNUUGUCAAGUCUGNUGUGAAAUCCUACAGCUUAACUGUAGAACUGCAUUGNAAACUGGCAACCUAGAGUAUGGGAGGGGGAGAUGGAANUAGGGGNNGUCNAGGGNNGGNCG